UGACAUUGAGCCCAUCAGAGAAACCAUGACACUAUGGCAGGCCAACUUACUAGCUUUCAAGUAAGGUAACAUCUCAGACCAUCAUAGGUUUUGACAGGGGAAACUCUGAAGGACCACAGGAGUUGGAGGUUCCACGUAUCUCUAAGUAGUAACAUACGAUGGGUCCAAAACAGAAGAAAGAGAACUCAAGAUUCCCGAGCCACAGAGCUGUUGAUUGGAGGCUGACUCAGAGAAACCCUGGAUUCAGUGACAUACAGAGACAACAGGUACAGGAUCAGUAUGGGUUUUAAUUGAGGGGCUCGGCACCAAAUGACAGACUUGACACAUCCACCCCCACCAUGGAUGCUGUCCGUCCACUGUUGCACAAUGUCCUUCAGUGUCUAAUUUACAGAUCCAGCUGUAUUUCCCCUUCCACCUGCAUCCCUGAAGUUCCUCCCACCUGAAAACUUCACCUGACCCAAGAAAGCAAAGGAAAAAACCCGGAGAGCCAGCUCAUAGUCUGGUUCACUGUUUAACAGCCAGAAGCCAGAGCCUGCGUACUAGAAGUGGAUGCCCAGGAAGUACUUGUGAGCUGACUAAGAAUGUAAGAACGCCACCCACUUCAUUCAGGAAAGUGAGGCAGGAUUCCAUGGAGUAUGAAUGACUGCACAUGGAACAAGCAGGUUAUCAUUUAUAUUCAGCAAGGGACCUCCAUGAACAGGACAUUUGGGGAGCUGCUAUCAAACAUCAGAACUUCUGACACUGUGCACACAGUCUUAUAUUGUGCCUUGUCUGUUGUGAUGUCUCACUACAGUAAUGAUUAAGAUGAUGAGCA
rnacentral:lncRNA from 1 species